GGCGCGGUGGCCUGGUGGUUAGCGCGUUGGACUCCGGAUCGAGUGGUCUGGGUUCGAGCGUAGCCUGAUUCUCAGACGGUCCG